AGGUAGGACUGCACCUACUGCGUCCUCGUCGUUGUCGUCAUCGAACCGAGAAGUAGAAUCGAAAGAGGAAGAAGAAGAAGAAGAAGAAGAAGAAGAAGAAGAAGAAGACGAAGAAGAAGAAGAAGAAGAAGUAGAGGAGCGGGAGUUGGCUUUGAAAGAUGGUAGAGAAAAAGAGAGAGAAAGGGAGAGAGGGGGUUCUCGGCGGCGCAACCUAUUGUCCUCGUGUCCACAGCCUUUUUCAAUUCAAAUUGAAGCCGCAAAAAAAGGCGCAGAGCACACACACGGUUCGGACACCGCGAAAGCCGGUCCCUCCUCCGAUUCUCCGGAGGCCUUCUUCUCCUUUUCUCCUCAUCCUCGUCCUCAUCCUCCUUUUCUCUGUCCUCGUCCACGUCUCUUACGGGGGCUGAUUCUAUCGGACCGUAAAUAUCACCAUCGCGGACUUGGCCAACGUUCGACUCGAGUAUGUACGAGUAUUUUCGUUUAUAUGUAUAUGUAUGUGCACACGUGUGUGUGUGUGUGUGUGUGUGUGUAUGUGUGUACGUACGCACCCAUCGAAGAAUCAUCGUUCAAGAAAGUGUACGUAGGUACUAGAAACGAGAAAGAGAUUUGGGAAGGAGGGAGAAACCGGGAGAAGGAUUCUUUAUUUUCCUUCUCUUUCUCUUCCUUCUUCGUCUUUUGCGCGAAUCGCACUUUCCUUGCGUACGUGCAAGAAAAAGAGAGAGAGAGAGAGAGAAAGAGAAUCUCCGCGUGUCUCCGUCUUGUUGGGAUUCAAAGAGGGAUUCGCGAAGGGGAGUCUGCCGGUCCUCUAAAAGUUCCUCUUCGAUCGAAUCGCCGCCUUCUUCCUGCCGGCCAUGAGAGUAUCGCGAGUAUUCGUAGAAUUCUUCGUCGUCGAGCUCGUUGCGAUCUCUUCGAGACAUUGGACAAGGCGGCUUUUAUUGCGCGAGAAAUCUUGCCUCGUGAGAAUCGCCAUAUCUUUCUUUUCUUAGAGCUUAUUUCAUUCUUUCUUCCUUUCUUCUUUUCAUCCUUCCUUUUUAUUCGAUAUUUCUUACUUGCAAAUAUCUAAUACUUUACUAAUAGUAUUCAUAGAUUAUGAAAUUUAAGUAAUUCAUUGGAUGAAAUUGUUAAAAAUCGUAUAGAAUUGAAAUUCUUAUACGACACAAUUAUUUCAAUUUAAUGUCAAAAAAAAAAAAAAAAAAAAAAGAAAAAAAAGAAAAAGAAAGAAGAUUAAAGGGAAAAAAAAAAGAAAUAUUAUAUUAUUUGAUACUCGUAUCGUAACACCGUCUUAUACUUGUAUUUAAGGAACAUUAACUUUUAGGAUAUGAGCUAACAAUUAAUUUCGUUGGGACAAUAUGAAAUACGAUUUGUAAGAUACAAAUAUACGAGUGAGUACAAAGUUAUAUGACAUUAUAGAGAGUUAAAGUGACUGAGCUGUCGGAGAAGGUACGAAUCCUUCGACGGAAGUCAUAGAGUCAUCGUUUAAUACGAUUCGGUAAUUACAUUUUUUCUCCCUGUAGCUCGAAUACCCUUAUAUUACGACCUCAUCGUCGAGUAGGAGUUACGCUGCGGUCGGCUCGCCGCCUUCGAAUACCAAAAGAGAAUAAUGGCCGUAAUAAUUGUAAUUUAUGCGAUUAACUCUAGAGAACCGGUAUUAGCCAGAGAAGAAGCUCAAGCGGAGAGGGAAGAAAGACCCCUGACUGACCUGUCUUAAACUUAUAAAACGCAUCGCGGCCGAUAAUUUGUAUAAAUACGGGGGAAGUCUUGCCUUUUGGUAAAGGUUGUUACGUUUCUCAUUUUCGUUCUAACAGAACGAUAAUUGUUAUCGCGAUAGUUAGAAAAAAAAAAAAAAGAAAAAAAAAGAAAAUAAAGAAGAUAAAGAAAAGCAAUAUCGUCAAAUUUAAAUAUUAAACCUGUAACAAAUAGUAUUAUCGUUUUGAUUAAUUACAUUAUAAAAUAAUAUUAUAUCGUCGUAUUAACAUUGUAUUAUUUUUUUCAUUUCAGGUAAUAAUAAGAUUCAUAUAAGAGACUACAUAGACACACAGAGUUUAGACACAUCUACUAGGAUCGUCUUCGGUUCUGUAAGUCUUCGCCGGAUGAUAAAUUGCGGAAAGGGAGGAGUAAAGGCAACUCGUACGGAGAAAUCGUAGAAACAAGCGAGCGAUUAGCACGGAAUCGCGAGAUAAGAAGUUGAAUCGCGAACGGGGAUCGUCGUCGUCGUUGUCGUCGUCGUCGUCGUCGUCGUUGUGGUCGGCCAUAGGACGAAGCUGCGGUCAGUUCCUGGCAAGGAAGCGCUGGACAAGACGUUACAAUGUCGAAGGAGGCGGAAGAAGUGGAGGAAGAAGAAGAAGAAAAGAAGAGACGAAGAAGAAGAAGAAGAAGAAGAAGAAGCAGAAGAAGAUAACUUCUACCGAUCGUUUAACUCGAGACAAUGGACGAAAGUACGCGUCGAGUUUAUGCAAAUUAAACUGGUCGAACGCAAAGUACAUUAUGCGUUUGCUUUCAUGUCGACGUCAACGAAAGGAAUUUAAGUUUUUAUCUCAAUGGUAACAGUAUGAACGAUUAUUAAUUCUAAUCGGCUACUUCGAAUUACGUUUCGAAAGACAUUUCGAAUAGAUUUUUUGUUAGAGACUUCACGGCGGAUAAAUUCUUUAUCGAUCGGCUUAUGCCACCAAGUACUUUACUUACUUACUUACUUACUUACUUACUUACUUACUUACUUACUUACAUUAAAAAUGAUUUUUCUUAUUCCCUUUUUGUA